rnacentral:rRNA from 4 species
AUUUGCCAAGUAUGUUUCCGUUAAUCAAGAACGAAAGUUAGAGGUUCGAAGGCGAUCAGAUACCGCCCUAGUUCUAACCAUAAACGAUGCCAGCCAGCGAUCCGCCGAAGUUCCUCCGAUGACUCGGCGGGCAGCUUCCGGGAAACCAAAGCUUUUGGGUUCCGGGGGAAGUAUGGUUGCAAAGCUGAAACUUAAAGGAAUUGACGGAAGGGCACCACCAGGAGUGGAGCCUGCGGCUUAAUUUGACUCAACACGGGAAACCUCACCAGGCCCGGACACCGGAAGGAUUGACAGAUUGAGAGCUCUUUCUUGAUUCGGUGGGUGGUGGUGCAUGGCCGUUCUUAGUUGGUGGAGCGAUUUGUCUGGUUAAUUCCGGUAACGAACGAGACUCUAGCCUGCUAAAUAGACGAUUUCCGGUAUCCACAAUAGUGCUACCGGCGAAAUCAAUAUCUUCUUAGAGGGACAGGCGGCUUUCAGCCGCACGAAACUGAGCAAUAACAGGUCUGUGAUGCCCUUAGAUGUCCUGGGCCGCACGCGCGCUACACUGAAGGAAUCAGCGUGUACACCCUGGCCGAAAGGCUCGGGCAACCCGUUGAACCUCCUUCGUGCUAGGGAUUGGGGCUUGCAAUUGUUCCCCAUGAACGAGGAAUUCCCAGUAAGCGCGAGUCAUAAGCUCGCGUUGAUUACGUCCCUGCCCUUUGUACACACCGCCCGUCGCUACUACCGAUUGAAUGAUUUAGUGAGGUCUUCGGACUGGUGCGCGGCGGCCGCCUGCGCGGCCGCCGAUGCCACCGGGAAGAUGACCGAACUUGAUCAUUUAGAGGAAGUA